UACAGAGGGUGCGAGCGUUGUCCGGAAUCACUGGGCGUAAAGGGCGCGUAGGCGGCUUGAUAAGGUUGCGGUGAAAGCCCGGGGCUCAACCCCGGGUCGGCCGUGGCAACUGUCGAGCUGGAGCACUGUAGAGGCAGGUGGAAUUCCGGGUGUAGCGGUGGAAUGCGUAGAGAUCCGGAAGAACACCGGUGGCGAAGGCGGCCUGCUGGGCAGUGGCUGACGCUGAGGCGCGACAGCGUGGGGAGCAAACAGGAU
rnacentral:rRNA from 1 species